rnacentral:lncRNA from 1 species
AGUGAAGAGCAUGGCUCAGGGUGCCAUUGAUGGUGUGAAGAACAACUUGGUUGGUGACAACAACACUAAGAAGUGAAAGAAACGUCAGUCUUCGUGCGAAUCAUGACUUAGUUGAUUUGUUUGUUGGUCAUUUCCUAUAAUUAGGAGUUUCCUAUACUCCAAUGGUAUAAGGAAAUCACAAGUAGGGAUUUUUUUAAGGAUUUCUCAGAUGAUGUAAUAAGAGCUUUUAGAAAUUUGUUGAUAAGUGGAGUUUAUACCAUUUUGAUGAUUUUUAGGUUAGCUUAGAAUUUGCUUCAGUUUCUAGCUUAUUUAGAGUUGGGAGCAUGUUAAUUUUGCAUUGAUCUGAAGAGUCUCUUGAUACAGAGAAUCUCUUUCAAGUGUAAUAAGGUAGUAUUGACUAUGAUAAAAGAUACUGAAUUCAUGAAGAAAAUGAGACAACUUGGUCUUUUUUCUGGCUUCUUGUUAAGAUUCCGAAACCCGCUUUCCACAAGAAGACUAGUUACAGAACCGAAGUCCAACGUUUUAAAUUACAGCUAGGUUUGCAAAAUGGAGAUUUGUAGUAGUUAAUAUUGACCACUAAUAUUAUCUCUUUACCCUUUAUUGUCAUUGCUGUAUAAUAUGCUUUCUACCUAACUUGCACGCACCUUAGAAUAAUUAUCUUUUUGAUUCACAGAAUUUGUGUCAAGGACUCAGGACUAGAGCUGUCAAAACCGAACUCGGCCCAGAUUUGGUAAAUUUUUUCGGGUUUGGGUUGAGAAAUAAUUCCGAUACCUGAAUCUGGACCAAUAUCCGUUUACUCUAAAAAAAGCGAGUCGAAUACGAAAUAUAGGAUUCUGACCGAUAUCGAUUCAACCAAAUAAUACAUUAAUAUUAUAAAUAUAAAUAUUCUAAUAUAUUCUUUUACUAAAUUAACAAAAGUAUUCUUUUACCAAAUUAACCAAAUUACUUGUAUCUCAGAUGAAGCAUCUAAGAAAUUAGGAUUUGCAAGACGCAAACUUGUUUGACCAGAAAUGUAUUCAUCACAAGUUGCAUAUAAGUGUUUUUUGCUAAAUACUUUGAGAUCAUGUUAGGCCUUUUUUGCUAACAUGGAUAAAAGAAAAUGAAUGAUACAUGUUGGGCCAUUUUCUUUCUAGAUAGACCCGGACCCGACUUGAGACUCGUCAAAUCUGGUUCUGAAAUCUUAAGUACAAACCCAUCGAUAUACGGGUCGGGUUCGGGUCUAGUACAUUAAAAUGAAUCGUGGUCCGAAAUUUUCAAUUUCGAUCCAAACCGACGACCUGUUGUUGAUAGGGCCUACUCGGACUGAAGAUUUCUGAAAAUAAUUCCCAAAUUCAUUCUCGUUGAACUACCGGUGUACUUGCUAGGAUAGAAAUCAAUACUCCUUGAUCAUGUGUUUGGUUGGGAACUUUUUCUUUUUUUAAAAUACAGUAUUUUAUAAUUGACCUAUACUUGGGAUUGGAAUGGAAUGGACCUAACUAAAUCAUUGAAAUUCAAAAACACUAAACUAUCUUCGAAAAUGUUUUAGAAGUCCUGGAUGGAAAAUGUAGGCAAGGCGUUUUGAAUACCAUACCUAUACCAAGCAGGGAUACUUCAACGUUAGGCUCAAAAUUUCUCCAUUGAGCUUAUUUGCAAACUAAAUAUAAUAAAUAUUGCAUUAAAAAAAAGCAUAAGAAAUAUUGUACCACGGGCCAUAAGAUAGGGAUGGGCAAAAAUACUUGUUAACUCGAAAACUUACCAUAUCCGAUUCAAUUCGAUCGAAAAUUAGAAUAUCCGAUUCGUAUUAUUUCAUCGCAUUAAAAAGAGGGUCAAGUACCUGAGUAGAUUCGGGCAGGUUAGGGUCACAUACUUGAAAAUCCACGAAUACUUGACUCACCCGCACACAUACACACACAUAUAUAUAUUUUUAAUUUUAUACACAUGGUUAAAAUAAUAUUUUUAGAACUAAAUAAGCAAUUUAUUGAGCAAUUGUAUUACAAAUAUGGAAGAUUAUAGUUUGUUUACAAGAUUCAUUUAUAGAGUUCAUGAUCUUAUUUUUUUUUUAAGAAAAGUUUAGUUAAUGUGAAAUAUAUAUCUAAAAAAGGGGCUACUUAUUUCAAAUUUUUAUUGAUUUUGAAUUCUAUUAAUUUUUUUUCCUUUUUCUUCUAUUCUCUUCGCAUGUUUGUUUCUUGGUGGGAUGAUUUUUUUGAGAAAAAUCUUAAUUAAAUUUAAAUUUUAAAUGAAAAUGUAAAAUAUAAAAUUAAAUUAGCAUAGAUAAUUUUUUUAAAAAAAAUUAAAUGAAUAAGUGGGAUGAAACGGGUAUCCGUUGAGACCCGAUCCUAUCUAAUUGGAUACUUGCUGAUAUGUGGGGCAGAUAAAACUCAGAAAAUGAUUGAUUUACUACAUAUGGGAGGCGCCAGUUAAAUGGUGGCACGAGAUAGGUAUUCGACCCAUGCUCACCCUACGACAACCCCAUAAGGUCAUAUAUAUCUCUCUUCAUUGCAUAUACUCAACACUUAUAGACUCCAAGCCAGAUUAAAUACUUUAAAUACUUUAUUAGCAAAAAAAAAAACACUAGAUUAAAAUUAAAUAAUUGUUUCACAAAAAUUCUCCUGGAAUUCUUGCUAGGAUCUUGCCCAUUGCUGAUCUUUAUAAUCUUAUGCCAAUUUUCUAAAAAACUCUCAUAGAAAAUUUCAUAAUUCAUAUCUUUUGUUUUUAACAUCUUUCAACUAGGGAGAAGUGAAAUUUAAAAAACAUUUCUGAUUCAUGGAAUCAAAAUUUUAACCACUAGACUAACGUAUUCUUGACAUCAUAAUUUAUCUUCGAUCCAAUAAUUGUCACUUUAAAGUUUUUUCAACAAAAAACACACCUGUAGUUAUGUUUCUUAGUUGUAUUUAAACACACAACAAAAAAAAAACUUAACUUUCCUCUUAUGAAAUGUUAAAAUUAAUGAAAGACACUGAACCGAAAUUCUCAAGUCCAAAAAUAAAAAAAAAUAAAAAAAUUAGAAACCGAAUAAGAAAUCUAGAAUGAUCGCUAAUGCAAUUGACGUGAUGGCUGUGUCCCGCGGCUUCUCCUACCUUCCCUAUCACCAUCCAAUAAUACGCCACUAAACUUCACCUUCAAUUCUAUUGCCUUCUAAUGGCAAAAUUAUUGAAAAGUGAAAACCCCUUCAUUGAGGAAAAAAGAAGGCGGAAAAAGAAAAUUCUUCAAGUUCCACAGCCACAUGAAACAAGCCCAUUGUCCAGGUCAAAUGCAGCAUAAUAUGCAACACCUAAACAACUUGCUAUUCCUACGUGCCAUUACCUCAUAGCUCAAAUGGCAAUCAUAUUCUACUAUAAAUUCAAGAGCUUAAUUCAACCAAAAAUACAGAACUUUCAGUUUUAGUUACAAAGAUAUCAAACGAUUUAGACACUUCAUUUCAUCUUUAAGAAAAUGUCAAGCACUCAGUUUAAUGCAGGCGAAACCCAUGGCAAAACUCAGGUGAUUGAACCUCUUCCAUUUAAGUGUUAGCAAUUAUCAUUCUUUUCUCGUUGUUAUAGCAAAUUUCAUGGCCUAGUCCUGUUUGUAAUGAUUGGCUAUCCAUAGACAUUGUAGUAUUAUUCUACUUUUUGUUCAUGGCAUAAAACUGCUAUACUAUUCUUCCACUAUUGGAAAAAGAAUUUGUCUUGCUGAUGAUAUAAGAUGCUAGAUGAGUUUUCUAUCCUCUCAAUUACAUGUAUGAGAUGGCUAUUGCAUUAAUAUAAGAUCAUCAUGUAUAGCUGAUAUAUGUUUCUAUUUUCAAGAUAUCUUAUCAAUCAUCAAGUAUAUGAAAACGAGAAUCCUUGAUUUGGGACGAAUUCUUGAAGACUCAUUAGUAGGACUCUUCAUCCCAAGAUUAUUACUAACUAGUUUUCAUACGCAGGCCAAGACAGAGCAGUGGGUUGAUUCAUGCAAGGAUGCAGCAAAUGCAGCCCAUGACCGAUCUGCCCAGGCUGCAGAUCAGAGUGCAGGAUUCCUUCAGCAGGUUUUCAACCUCUACAGUUUUGUCCAAGAAGAAUUUGGGGUUAAAAUUCCUUUUCUUUAUCUUCUUCUUAUUAUUAUUACUUCAUUUUUAUUUCAGACUGGUGAGCAAGUAAAGAGCAUGGCUCAGGGUGCUAUUGAUGGUGUGAAGAACACACUUGGAGUUGGUGACAACAACACUAAGAAGUGAAAGAAACAGAUGUCAUUCAUGAGAAUCAUGACUUAGUUGAUUUAUUUGUUAGUCAUUUCCUAUAAUUAGGAGUUUCCUAUACUCAAAUGGUAUAAGGAAAUUAUAAGUAGGGAUUUCUUUUUAAGGAUUUCUCAGAUGAUGUAAUAAGAGCUUUUAGAAAUUUGUUGCUAAAGUGGAGUUUAUACCAUUUUGAUGAUUUUUAGGUUAGCUUAGGAUUUGCUUCAGUUUCUAGCUUAUUUAGAGUUGGGAGCAUGUUAAUUUUGCGUUGAUCUGAAGAGUCUCUUGAUACAGAGAACUCUCUUUCAAGUGUAAUAAGG